rnacentral:rRNA from 1 species
UACUAGAGUAGCACUCGCAUAUCAAUAAGCGGAGGAAAAGAAAUUAACAAGGAUUCCCCUAGUAACGGCGAGUGAAGCGGGAAGAGCUCAAAUUUGAAAUCUUAAAGGGUUUCCCUUUACGAAUUGUAGUUUAAAGAAGUGUUUUCUGUUGAGGUUUUGGUAAAAGUUCUUUGGAAUAGGACAUCAUAGAGGGUGAGAAUCCCGUAUUUGACCUUUACUUUCAACUUUGUGAUACACUUUCAAAGAGUCGGAUUGUUUGGGAAUGCAGUCCAAAAUGGGUGGUAAAUUUCAUCUAAAGCUAAAUAUUGGCGAGAGACCGAUAGCGAACAAGUACCGUGAGGGAAAGAUGAAAAGAACUUUGAAAAGAGAGUUAAACAGUACGUGAAAUUGUCAAAAGGGAAGCGUUUGACACCAGUGUUGUUUUUCUGAAAAUCAAUUAAAGAACUGUUUAUGCUAAGUUGUUUAGACUUUAUCAGCUAUCUGUUUAGUUUUGAGCUUUUCUUUAAUGCACUUUUCAGUUAACAAGUCAACAUCAAUUUCUUUUGCUGUAAAAAAGCUUGAGGAAGGUGGCUUGAGAUUCGUCUUAAGUGUUUAUAGCCUCUUGCCUAUGCAGUCGGAGAGAUUGAGGUCUGCAGCGUAGAUCCUUCGGGGCUAAAUGCAUUUGUGCUAAGUUAUAGCAUUUUAUAGACAACUUGUUGACUAUGAUUUGUCUUGUAGCUUACUCGCUUAUGUUAUUUUACCUACGCUUAGGAUGUUGAACUACUGAGACAUAGA